rnacentral:rRNA from 1 species
AGCCCGUGAAUCUGGGCGGCGAAAUUCAGGAUGACUGGCCGGCCUUGUGCAUGUUKGUCGUUUGAAGUUUUCGUCGCCGUGUCAGACGUCGCGAUCUGUUCGUUGUCGGUCCCUGCUCGGAGGAAUUGCGAUCGAGUUUGUUGUGGGCGCGUUUCGGCGUGUCAUACGGCAAAGACGCGAAUCUCUGGCCGAUAGCGGACAGUAAGCAGUGGUAGCUGAUGCUGUGUCACGUGCACAGUGUUGGUACCGAUCAGCGACGAUUUCUUCGGGCCUCUUUCCGACCCGUCUUGAAACACGGACCAAGGAGUCUAACAUGCGCGCGAGUCGCGGGGUAUCGAGUGUACUACGGUGCGCUCGGUCAUUAUGAAACCCGUAUGUUGAAGGCGUAAUGAAAGUGAACAGGGAAGAUGGUGUUCCGAGUAUACGUACCGUGAAAAUUURCGGCCGGACACCCGCAUUCCCGGGGCGUCUUAAUGAUUCAUCGUGAAUGCGGAUUGUCGUCUCUCGGGGUGGCAGUCGGUUUGCGAUGGUCAAAGGCGCACCUAGAGCGUGCACGUUGGUACCCGAAAGAUGGUGAACUAUGCCUGGCCAGGAUGAAGUCAGGGGAAACCCUGAUGGAGGUCCGCAGCGAUUCUGACGUGCAAAUCGAUCGUCUGAGCUGGGUAUAGGGGCGAAAGACUAAUCGAACCAUCUAGUA